AUGUGUGUAUGUGUGGCCAGAAAGACAAAGAAAAACAAUAACGCGUGUGUAUCACUCGCGUGUAAGUCUUAAUGCGGAAGUAGCAUUUGCUGCAUUUAAAGAAGUCCAAUAAACUUCACAAAACAAUUCCACUUAAAUGACGCGGUGCCUUGAAAGACAACCCCUCGAAGAUCAUAACCGUUAAAUGCUGCGCUACUAUUAAAGAGAGCGUUUCAGACGUGUGUGUUCAUCGGUUACUGUGAUUGAAAUGUUCACUUCAUUUGGCGACGUUAAUACAUGCCAAUAUAUCUAUAUAUAAUCCAUAUAAAUAUGUAUAAUGCAUACUAUUGAAUGAACGUGCAUGGUAUAAAAUGUGGUAUUGUCAGGCCGAUGCAGGCAGCUUAAUUGUCACCAAUCUGCCUUAGUGUGAAGGAGUUAGCUCCUUGCUAAGUGUAGCCUCCUGCUUCUAAACGGCUUAGGAAGACACGUUGGACGGGCACCGGAUCAUGUUGUCCUCACCUUACUUUACCCCUGCACGGCCGAUUUGCUUAUGUACACUGUAUAGGUGUGUCAGGCCGGGUACAACAUAAUGGAUUCAGAGGAUAAACAAACAAAAGACUGAGGGCUCCAGAUGACGCUGUAGUGUAGACGUUUCUAUUUGAACUCCACUGAAGGCUGAGCAACACUGAAAAAGGCACAGUGCUGCUGGCUGGACACCAUCACGUCUGUGCUGCUGGUACACCACCACCUCCUUCUAGCUCCGUUUCAUAAGAAGAACACGGUCCCUGCUCUUUGAAUUGAGGACAGGAGAGGAUGGCAGAUGGAGAGAAGGAGAAGGAAGAGUCCAUGAGAGGCGCUGACGUUGUAUUGUGUAAUCAGCCUAUGUUCUGAGAAGGAACAUCACACCCUCGUGUGCCGGGAUCUUAUUGUGGCCUCCCACUCACUAGACGGGAAGAAAGAGUACAACCCACCUCGUAUGUCCACUGGCUCCUCCCAUCCACGUCAGCCGGACCACAAAGCAACUCGAGCCGCUGGACCCCCACCCUUCACAUUUCAACACUAUGCUCAUGCUAAUGUGCCAAUGCUAAUGUGGUAAUCCAUCCGUUUUCCAUGCCGCUUAUCCUCACCUUAUCCUGCUGCUGGAGCCUAUCCCAGCUGACUUGGGCGAGAGGCGGGAUCCACCCAGGACUGAUGGCCAGCCAAUCCCAGGGCACAUAUAGACAAACAACCAUUCCCACCCACAUUCAUACCUAUGGACAAUUUGGAGUGGCCAAUCAAGCUAACAUGUUUUUGGAACGUGGGAGGCAACCGGACUACAUGUAGAAAUCCCACGCAUGCACGGGGAGAACAUGCAAACUCCGCACAGAGAUGGGCGAGGGUGGAAUUGAACUCGGGUCUCCUAGCUGUGAGGCCUGCGCGCUAACCACCAUGCAGCCCUAUCCUGACCUCACUUAUUUCAUAUUCUUUUGCAAGAGCCACAUUGUCUGAUAUCAUGAUUUUAUGAUAUCAGGAUUUCAUGAUAUCAUGAUAUAUAUAAUGGUUUCAUGAUAUCGUGAUUUCAUCAUGAUUCCAUUUCCAGAAGGGGGUUAGAGUAGGUCCUGGUAAGGAAUGGUUGUCUGAGGUGACUUCUAGGACAUACAGUGACAAUAUCACACGUGGGCCAACAUGACAACACUUACACUGUACUUAUAUGAACAUGGACGACAUCACAGAAAUAUAUAUUUUUUAAACUCGAGUUGUCAUGAAGUUAGUAGCGAUCCAAGUUGAUAUAAAUGUUUGCAUCGACCCGCCGAGGAGGGGCGACUGAAAGAAGCGACCUCCCCCUUCUGUCAUAGGCGUAGGGGAGAGGCGAGCCCCGGGUGGACUCCAUUUCCCAGCGUGCAUUGCGCCCCAUGAUGUUCCCAACAGCUGACAGACGGUGAAAGCCGCUAGCAGAGAGCUGUCUGUUGUGAGGGAAGAGGACAACGGCGGACUUCAUCGUCACGUCGAGGGACUUUUCCACAACCUUGUUGCGUCGAGCCUCCCCUUUGGAUUAAGAAAAGAAGUCUAUUAUUGUUAUUAUGCACUGAGCACACGCAGCAGUAUUACUACAGUACCCACGGUACCCACUGACACUAUGGGGCCACCUAGUGGCUGACUGGGGAAACUUCCUCAUCUUUUUUUAUCCUUUGUGUCCUUUUGCCCCCAAAAGACUCAGGAAAGACGCAUGGUAAAGGAAUGUGUUCGGCACAUCUUCAUUCUGGGAUUCCUUCUGUUACCUUGGACAAAGCUACUUGAUGUCAGCUUCCCUUUGGAGUGCCGUCCACACGACUUCCUCUUGACUGGCACACGUACGCCACCCUGGAGGGGGAGAGAAACCUUGUGAGAUCAGGAGAAGGUUUGCAAAUGUCUCCUUUGAGAGUGAGCAACAUUUUGAGAAGCAUCCUGACAAAGUUUAGCCAAAACUUUCCAGAGAAACUUUUACAAGAUCCUGAAAAGGUUUCUCUAGAAAUGUCCUGAGAAGUAAGAUAAGACUUUCAGUCCCACAAGGGUAGCUUUCUUUGCUUCUGGUCUCCGGGGUUCUAUCUUCAUGAUGGCAUUCCACUUUGAGGUUGGCCUGAAUUGUCGAAGCUCAAGCGUGUUUGAUGGGAAGGUGGUUCAUGCAAGUGGAGACCUGUGGAAAGAACCUGGCCGUGUUGGGUUAGUUCCCGUUGGUCAGCAUCUGACUGCGUUUCAAAGUUGAUAUGCGGUGCGAGUGUGACAUGAGGAGACCCCGUCCCGUUGGAGAAGAAGUCUUUUCAAGUGCUUCUCCAGAGGCUGAAGAUCAAUCACCUCCAAGGUGCUGGAGACCAAGGCUCAACAAAACCAGGAUCUCACAAAACCUUCUCAGGAUGACUUUUUGUGUUGUUUGAAAUGCUGACCCGUUAGGCGUCUGUACAUGUUGGUGGCACGGGAACAUGAAGAGCAGAACAAGUGUGGUCUGGUAGAGCUCGCAUGUUCCUCUUUCACAGCAUCCCAAGCGGACUGAAACCAAGAUGGGUGAUGUUUACACGCCCUAACAUUGACAGCCAACCGGACUUCCAUCAGGGACGCAUUACAAGCAUAACCGUCCAUGAGAUGAGCAUGUGCUGGACAACGGCGUAUCUACUGUCCGUGUACGUUUGAGAUCUUUUCAGUAGAAAAACAUCAGUCUCAGGCGGCAGAGAGGCUGAGACUGCAUGAGUCCAAACACUAGGUCUGCCUUUUAUUUUGAACAAUGCCUUGUUGUCUCGACAGUGUUGCAAAACAUAUGCAUGACUGUCCUUUUGGGAAGAAAAUAGUGUAUUUUUUCUUACUGUAUGAUGUAGACACUAUAAAUAGCUCUGUUGCCAAAUGUGAUGAAGAAUAAUGUGACGAACUGAGCAUUUCCUGUUGAACUCAACACUCUUCAGUUGAAGCAGUUGAAUGUAUAGCUUUGUACAAAACUAUUUUAGCUCUGAGGGUAUGCUAGUGAAGAUAGACCUGAAGGAUAAAACAACACUUUUUUAAUAAAAACAUUUUGUAUUAGAAGAUUAACAUUGGUCAUUUUGUAUAUAGAAGAAAAGUGGUUAGCAGAACGCUGAAACAUUCCUGCAUUUUUUUCAAUGUAUGCCAGAUGUAUGUCAGAUGAUUCCAUGGACACGCAAUGUUAUGUGCCUUUUAUUUGGUUUGUCUAAAUAAAAGG